GAUGAACGCUGGCGGCGUGCCUAAUACAUGCAAGUCGAGCGAACAGACGAGGAGCUUGCUCCUCUGACGUUAGCGGCGGACGGGUGAGUAACACGUGGAUAACCUACCUAUAAGACUGGGAUAACUUCGGGAAACCGGAGCUAAUACCGGAUAAUAUAUUGAACCGCAUGGUUCAAUAGUUAAAGACGGUUUUGCUGUCACUUAUAGAUGGAUCCGCGCCGCAUUAGCUAGUUGGUAAGGUAACGGCUUACCAAGGCAACGAUGCGUAGCCGACCUGAGAGGGUGAUCGGCCACACUGGAACUGAGACACGGUCCAGACUCCUACGGGAGGCAGCAGUAGGGAAUCUUCCGCAAUGGGAGAAAGCCUGACGGAGCAACGCCGCGUGAGUGAUGAAGGUCUUCGGAUCGUAAAACUCUGUUAUUAGGGAAGAACAAAUGUGUAAGUAACUAUGCACGUCUUGACGGUACCUAAUCAGAAAGCCACAGCUAACUACGUG
rnacentral:rRNA from 1 species